AGUCGAGCGAUGAAGUUUCUUCGGAAAUGGAUUAGCGGCGAACGGGUGAGGAACACGUGAAGAAUCUGCCCUCCACUUUGGGAUAACACCGGGAAACCGGUGCUAAUACAGAAUAUUGAAACAUAAGUGGCAUCACUGAGUUUUGAAAGAAUUUCGGUGGAGGAUGACUUCGCGGCCUAUCAGCUAGUUGGUGAGGUAAUGGCUCACCAAGGCAACGACGGGUAGCCGGCCUGAGAGGGCGACCGGCCACACUGGGACUGAGACACGGCCCAGACUCCUACGGGAGGCAGCAGCGGGGAAUAUUGGGCAAUGGAGGAAACUCUGACCCAGCGACGCCGCGUGCGGGAUGAAGGCCUUCGGGUUGUAAACCGCUUUCAGUAGGGAAGAAGCGGAAGUGACGGUACCUACAAAAGAAGCACCGGCUAACUAUGUGCCAGCAGCCGCGGUAAUACAUAGGGUGCAAGCGUUGUCCGGAAUUAUUGGGCGUAAAGAGCUCGUAGGUCGUUUGUUACGUCGGAUGUGAAAACCUGAGGCUCAACCUCAGGCCUGCAUUCGAUACGGGCAAACUAGAGUUUGGUAGGGGAGACUGGAAUUCCUGGUGUAGCGGUGGAAUGCGCAGAUAUCAGGAGGAACACCAAUGGCGAAGGCAGGUCUCUGGGCCAAUACUGACACUGAGGAGCGAAAGUCUGGGGAGCGGACAGGAUUAGAUACCCUGGUAGUCCAGACCGUAAACGGUGGGCACUAGUUGUGGGAACCUUCCACGGUUUCUGCGACGCAGCUAACGCAUUAAGUGCCCCGCCUGGGGAGUACGUUCGCAAGAUUAAAACUCAAAGGA
rnacentral:rRNA from 1 species